CUAGUACAUGUAUAGAUAGAACUUUAAGUUCCUUAAAGAGAGUAAAACUAGUUUUAUCCACUAAAGUUGCCCUUGAAGCUUUGUCUGAGGUCUCAGAAAGUCUAGAGCUGCCUCCGCAACGGGCACUAAGGCUAUAGGGAGGCUGGGUGCCAGAUGCAGAUCCGCUUUAAAGGGACUCUCCAGUGCCAGGAAAACAAUCCGUUAUCCUUGCACUGCAGGCCCC